CGGGCAGCUGAGCCCGGAGAUCAGAGACAAGGCCCAGGGAUUCCUCCAGAGUGGCUACGAGCGUGAGCUGCUCUAUAAACACAACGACGGCUCUUACAGCGCCUCUAGGAAGAGAGAUGCCAGGGGCAACACCUGGCUGACGGCCUUCGUUCUCAAGUCCUUUGGCCAAGCCAGGCCCUAUAUCUCCAUUGAUGAGAAGCACCUAGAGGAUGCCCUAGGGUGGCUGCACAACCGCCAGCGGAAGACCGGCUGCUUCCGCAGUGUGGGGAAGCUGUUGAACAACGCCC